GGGAAUAUGGCUUAGUGGUAGAGUACUUGCCUGGCAUGCAUGACACCCCGGGUUCAAUUCCUCAGUACCA
rfam:Dipodomys ordii contig_97264, whole genome shotgun sequence.